CGGGAGAGAGGAUUAUUCCUAUUCCCGCUUUACAGACAGGAAAACCGAGGUCCAGGGAGGCAAGUGACUGGCUGAGGCUCCCACCGCCAGGCAGGACGUGGAAGACGCAGGAUUUGAACCCUGAUCUUCCCCUCUGCCGCGUGCCUGGCUCAGCAGUGUCACGGGCCUUGUUCCUGACCACAGGCUGGACAGGGUUGUGGACAUGUGGGUCCCACCUCGUCCUUACAACUGCCUCUUGACAUUGGUGUUUGUCCCAUUUCACAGCUGAGAAAAUUGAGGCUAAAAAAUGCGAAUGAUUUGCCAAGUUCAGGUGGCUGGGCAGCGCCGGGGCCAGGAUUCAGUCCUUGUCCACCUCCAGGGAGUUCUGCGACCUGCCCGGGGCCACACGGCUAACUUCAGUCCCUUCCAGGCAGCCGUCUACUCAGUGCCAGUCUUCCCCGCACAGGAGAUCACGUCGUCCCCACCUCCCCCACACAGGCUUUUCCUGGACACGGGAAUCGAGUCCGAGUUCCCUCUAGACCUGGGCCAGACAUGUUGGCCAUCCAAGAAGGACAGAUGUUUGCCCGAGGGCCCUGAAGAGGACAGGGGAGUCGAGUCCGAGCUCAGAGGAUCUUCCCAGAGACUUCAAGAAGCCAAGGGACUCUCCUCCUGUAACUGCAGACUGAAGACUCUGCUUACCGCGUGGGCCCCGUGUCCACAAAGGCCGCCCGCCCGGGAGCCGGGGUUUCCAGCUGCCUUGGAGAGAGAACCACCUGAAGGGGCCAGGUGCUGGCACAAGGGGACAUUUCCGUCGCCGUCCCCAGGUCGGGAGCGUGCAUGAGGGGCACAGGGUAUGUGCAUGUUCCUUCUAGUGUGGCUGGGUCUUGAGGGGGAGAGAACCCAGUAGGGGCCCCCUGCCCAGCAUUCCUCUGACAUGCAUUUGUUGAGUGUAUACGGGCCCCGGGAUACCAGGGGCUCUGGACACACCUCUGCCCACAAGAGUUUGGAGGUCUGCUGGGGAGACAGGCACAUGAGCACCUGAUGAUGGAACGCGGGUCCAGAGCGGGCGCGGGCACUGGAGCCCUGGAACCCGGGUGGUCGGAGCCUCAGUCCCCAGGGUGAGGACGUGAAAACUUUCCAGAGGAGACGGUUUCUGACUGGGUCUCGGAAUACGGUUCUGAUGGAUCCCAAGGAAAAGCAGAAGGUGAUCAAUCACAGAAGUUGAUUCUAGAGUCUGGAGUGGUGUCCGUCACAGCCAACCAUUCAACUAACUCCCUCGGGGAGAGCUGUCCCCCUGCAGGGUUGGUGGCAGUGGAUGCCGUGGAAGGGGAUGCGUCUGGAGAGAACACCGCUCGCCCCUUUGCCCUGAUUGCUGGCACCUGCCUGUCUGCAGGAGACCCGUCCCAGAUCACCUUUCAGGCAUCAAUUUGUCUUCCCUGCUUUCUGCAUCCUUGACAACCAUGGACUAAGCACACAUGACAGGAGCCCGUCCCCCUGCGAGGGGACGGCUGGAGCCUGGGGGCCACAGCAGGAGCCCACUUGCUGCAGUGACCUGGACCUCAACCUAGGGUCCAUCGGAGUCCCCUGAGGACCUUAAGAGAAAGACGCCCCGCCCCCUCCCAGAGAUGGGAUUCAGCUAGCCUGGGAGGGCGCGGGCGCCGCUCAUCCUCCGUGAACGGAGAAAACCUCGGCUCCGAGGGAAAGACCACAGCUUUAGAGUCAGACCUGGAAUCCCAGCUCUUCCUCGUCUGAACGGUGUGACUUAGAUGAAUUACCCACACUCUCUGGGAGCCGGCUUCUGUUUCUGGAGGAAUGUUCAUGGUCAGUUCACCUCAGGUAACC
ensembl:lncRNA